CCUACGUGAGGCAGCAGUGAGGAAUAUUGGUCAAUGGGCGCGAGCCUGAACCAGCCAAGUAGCGUGAAGGCUGACUGCCCUACGGGUUGUAAACUUCUUUUAUAAAGGAAUAAAGUGAUGCACGUGUGCCUUUUUGUAUGUACUUUAUGAAUAAGGAUCGGCUAACUCCGUGCCAGCAGCCGCGGUAAUACGGAGGAUCCGAGCGUUAUCCGGAUUUAUUGGGUUUAAAGGGAGCGUAGAUGGGUUGUUACGUCAGUUGUGAAAGUUUGCGGCUCAACCGUAAAAUUGCAAUUGAUACUGGCAGUCUUGAGUACAGUUGAGGUAGGCGGAAUGCGUGGUGUAGCGGUGAAAUGCUUAGAUAUCACGAAGAACUCCGAGUGCGAAGGCAGCUUACUAAACUGCCACUGACAUUGAUGCUCGAAAGUGUGGGUAUCAAACAGGAUUAGAUACCCGUGUAGUC
rnacentral:rRNA from 1 species